rnacentral:rRNA from 1 species
GUCGAGAAUCUUUCACAAUGGGGGCAACCCUGAUGGAGCGACGCCGCGUGGAGGAUAAGGUCUUCGGAUUGUAAACUCCUGUCAUGCGUGAACAAGGUUGCUUGGUUAAUACCUGGGCAAAUUGAUGGUAACGCAAGAGGAAGAGACGGCUAACUCUGUGCCAGCAGCCGCGGUAAGACAGAGGUCUCAAGCGUUGUUCGGAAUCACUGGGCGUAAAGGGUGCGUAGGUGGCGUGGUAAGUCAGAUGUGAAAGCCCGGGGCUCAACCUCGGAACUGCAUCCGAUACUGCCAUGCUGGAGUACUGGAGAGGUGACUAGAAUUCUCGGUGUAGCAGUGAAAUGCGUAGAUAUCGAGAGGAAUACCAAAGGCGUAGGCAGGUCACUGGACAGUUACUGACACUGAGGCACGAAGGCCAGGGGAGCGAACGGGAUUAGAUACCCCGGUAGUCC